CACGUAGGGGGCAAGCGUUGUCCGGAUUUACUGGGCGUAAAGAGCGCGCAGGCGGUCGGAUAAGUCGAAUGUGAAAGCCCCCGGCUCAACUGGGGAGGGUCAUUCGAUACUGUUCGACUCGAAGGCAGGAGAGGGAAGUGGAAUUCCCGGUGUAGUGGUGAAAUGCGUAGAUAUCGGGAGGAACACCAGUGGCGAAGGCGACUUCCUGGCCUGUUCUUGACGCUGAGGCGCGAAAGCUAGGGGAGCAAACGGG
rnacentral:rRNA from 1 species